rnacentral:rRNA from 1 species
GUGCCAGCAGCCGCGGUAAUACGGAGGGUGCGAGCGUUAAUCGGAAUUACUGGGCGUAAAGCGCAUGCAGGCGGUCUGUUAAGCAAGAUGUGAAAGCCCCGGGCUUAACCUGGGAACCGCAUUUUGAACUGGCAGGCUAGAGUCUUGUAGAGGGGGGUAGAAUUUCAGGUGUAGCGGUGAAAUGCGUAGAGAUCUGAAGGAAUACCGGUGGCGAAGGCGGCCCCCUGGACAAAGACUGACGCUCAGAUGCGAAAGCGUGGGGAGCAAACAGGAUUAGAUACCCCUGUAGUCCC